rnacentral:sRNA from 1 species
AGUCAGGUAGAACCGCUGACACCUGAGGCGUGUUCAGCAGAGAGAGCGCCCGCGAGCGCUCGCCAAAAUUUGUGUUGCGAGUAUAGGGAAUUUUGGCGAGCGCUCGCGAGCACCCGCUCUGUUGAACAGGCCUCAGGUCAUUCCCGGGUUGGAUGCCGUGUGACAAGACACGAUUUUGAGGGCAGCUCUUGUUUGCUGUACUGAGCAAUACUGCAGUAUGCAUUGUGCAUGAACCAUGUUAUAAGUGGGCACGGAUAGCAGACCGUGCAUUUUGACUUCGUCAUACCACGUAGAACUUCCAGUGGAGAGAACCACUCUGAUGUUGAACACCACCACGACGCCUAUGGUCCAGGACUACAGCCCUGUAAGGAGUCCACGGUGGAUUUAAGGGAGAAAUACAGUCUACCUCAUCACAUCAGCGAGGAAUUCAGAUAGUGAGAUGAUUUGUGAUCGGAGUCGAGAUAAGUGAUCGAGACAGGAUCAUCAGUGAUUGAAAGUUUAGUGAUUGAGAUCUGUUAUUCAGUGUCAGUUGUGAAUAAGUAAUUAUCGAAUUGUAGCAACCAUAUUUUGAACUUAAAGAAAACUAUUAUAUACCAGUUUGUCUGUCUGUCAAAAGGUUUUUUUUCAUAUUCAUAGCUAGUAUUUUUUUUCUAUUAGUUUGUUAAAGUAGGGUUAUUAAUUACUGCAAAUUGAAUGAGUGUGGGGUGUGAGCGAGUACGGGUGUGAAAGUGUUAUUGUAAAUAUAUUUCAUUUGUUCUUUUGUAAAUAAAUUUAUAAACCUG